rnacentral:rRNA from 1 species
UGGGGAAUUUUGGACAAUGGGCGAAAGCCUGAUCCAGCAAUGCCGCGUGUGUGAAGAAGGCCUUCGGGUUGUAAAGCACUUUUGUCCGGGAAAGAAAUCCUUGGCUCUAAUACAGUCGGGGGAUGACGGUACCGGAAGAAUAAGCACCGGCUAACUACGUGCCAGCAGCCGCGGUAAUACGUAGGGUGCAAGCGUUAAUCGGAAUUACUGGGCGUAAAGCGUGCGCAGGCGGUUUGCUAAGACCGAUGUGAAAUCCCCGGGCUCAACCUGGGAACUGCAUUGGUGACUGGCAGGCUAGAGUAUGGCAGAGGGGGGUAGAAUUCCACGUGUAGCAGUGAAAUGCGUAGAGAUGUGGAGGAAUACCGAUGGCGAAGGCAGCCCCCUGGGCCAAUACUGACGCUCAUGCACGAAAGCGUGGGGAGCAAACAGGAUUAGAUACCCUGGUAGUCCACGCCCUAAACGAUGUCAACUAGUUG